AGAGCGAACGCUGGCGGCAGGCUUAACACAUGCAAGUCGAGCGGGCGUAGCAAUACGUCAGCGGCAGACGGGUGAGUAACGCGUGGGAACAUACCUUUUGGUUCGGAACAACCCAGGGAAACUUGGGCUAAUACCGGAUAAGCCCUUACGGGGAAAGAUUUAUCGCCGAAAGAUUGGCCCGCGUCUGAUUAGCUAGUUGGUGAGGUAACGGCUCACCAAGGCGACGAUCAGUAGCUGGUCUGAGAGGAUGAUCAGCCUCAUUGGGACUGAGACACGGCCCAAACUCCUACGGGAGGCAGCAGUGGGGAAUAUUGGACAAUGGGCGCAAGCCUGAUCCAGCCAUGCCGCGUGGGUGAUGAAGGCCCGUAGGGUUGUAAAGCCCUUUCGGCGGGGAAGAUAAUGACGGUACCCGCAGAAGAAGCCCGGCUAACUUCGCGCCAGCAGCCGC
rnacentral:rRNA from 1 species